GGCCAGGGCCCGGACCGCCUCCCUGCGCCCGCCGCGGCUUCUCCCCCUGGCGGUGGGAGCCUCGGCGGCCGCCGGCUAUACUAGGCGCACUGGAGCCCGAGCCGAGCCGAGCCCGAGCCGCGCCGCCACCACCACCGCCGCCGCCUCUCCCGGGCGCCCUCCCAGCGCGCGGGCCGGGAUUGGGGGGGUGCGCCGGGCCGGAGCAGCGAGGGCGGGCGAGGGGGCGCGCACUGGGGUUGGCGCUGAAGACCGGACUCCCAGCCGCGAGGGGAGCCCUGCACCCCAACUGAGGAGCACGUGGCAGAAGGAGAAUGAGGGGGCCCUCUCUUGCAGACCCCCACGCUGUACCUCAGUGCAUUUGUUUCAGCAUUUAUCCUCAUGGUAGCAGCUGUACUUUUCAACCCACUGGAAGGAGAUGCCUAAGCUGAUGAACAGUUUCUCCCAAGAAGCUGGGGGCAAAGAAUGGAAGGAAUGCAGAUUUCAUUAACUAGUGACUCUGGAGAUGCGGGCUAGGGGAACCUUCCCAAAUGGGAAAACUCCAAAGAUUUCUGAAAGACCAGGAUAACUGGAGGCUCAGAAACCCAGGUUAAGAAACUGGAACUGGAUCAACCUUAACCCUCUCCCCCCUGCCAACCCUGUCCCCUAGCUCUAAGGAAGCUAACAGGUCUUUUGUAUUGUGUCGCCUUUGGAGAAUUUGCAUAGAGUAUGACAACAGCAAAUUACUACUGUUUACUCAAAGUUAAGGGGAUUGCAGAAAGAGAAAACAUGGUUUUUUACUUUUUCUCUUUGUAUGCGUGUGUUUGGCAAGGAGUGGAGUUGUUAGGUUCAUGGCAUGAACUGCAAAAUGUCAGUUUAUAACAAUAAAGACUGUAAAGCCGCCUAGGUAUAUUUUUAGAAGCUGUACUUUCUUGAGUUCCUUUCACACAAGGCUUGCUCUCUCAUUAAGUCCCCAUAAAUAAUUGUAUUUAGAAGAAAACUAUAGAAGCAGGAAAGAGAUUGCUAAGAUUUCCAUCCUGCCAGUGCAGAGCACUGUUUGCUGGGAAGUUCCUGGAAAGUGACUGUGGGCUGAGAAUUCAGUUUUUCCUAAAAGCUCUGUUAGGUCCUCUUCUGUCAGAUGCCUAUGAAUAAAACACGCUGGGAAAAUCCUGA